UUCUGUGUAUUGCCUCAUUUCCUUCCUGAUGUCUUGAAGGGUUCUGUAUAUUAAACUUUUGUAUUCUGCCUCUGGUAAUUCCAGGAAUGUACUUUCAUGUAGAAGUUCCCUGGAUUCUUUGUUUUGAGAGCCUGUUGAGGUGAUCAUGGUCUGUUUCUUUAUGUGACUUGAUAUUGACUGUUAUCUGCAACCCAUCUAUAAGUUAUUGUAUUAGUUUAUGCUUGCUUACUGUGUCAUAGCUGCUUGCUUUGUUUUGUUUUGAUAUACCCCUAUGGGUUGCUUGAGUGAGCUAGCUUGAUUAUUUUCGCCUUUGGAGCUCUGGUGUCCUGUCCCCAGCUGGCUAGAGCUGUUAUCAGAUAUAUCAGUCUAGGAGUCCAUUCAGUUUUCUUGUAUGAAUUCAGCUCAGGUUUCCAGGUAGCUGAUCAUCAAGUGUGUGGUACAGGCUCUGUCCUACAGUCUUAGAGGAGCAGCGGUGAUUGGGGUAUAUACUGGUAUCUGAUUGCAGCAGGGGGUCACACUCUGAACAAGGCAGGGGGCUGAGGCCUGACCCCCAAGUGUCUCUGAGGAAAACGCGUCUCUGUUCCCUAGAGCGUGCUGGUGGGCGGUUUCUGCAGAUGGACCACUGGCACCCAAAGGUUUUGGUUGUAAGGACUGGGAGGUACCAGUUAUCUUUGGACCCCUGUCACGGGUGGCUGGGUGACCUGAGUAAAGCUACCAGUUCUUAAGUUCCUGAUGUGGGUAGGUGAGGACCUUGUUUAAUAGGCAAAGCAACGUCAAACGUCAAACACCCACCUCUCCACCGCACAGCUGAAAUGGUUGGAGUUUGCCAACAAGGGCCUAUUCUCCUCAAAUAUGCCCACACAGGUCCAUGGAGAAGGGAAAGGUGCUCAAGGUGCACAGACGGUUUAUGCCUGGACAGGAGCCACUUCUGUCCUGAGCUCCCCUGGUUAAUGAAGCUAGCAAAUUACCUUUCCCCGCCCAGUUGCAAAUUUUUUCCUUCCCCAAGGCUGGGAGGAGGGCUCCAGGUGCUCACCAGGGUCUAUCUCAGGCCCACGGAUUCAGCCGCUGAAGCCGGCCUGGGGGUUGGGGGCGCGGUGAAAUAUACGCAAGCACUUAGCUUUUGCCGAGAGCGCUGUUCUCCUCAGGUUCCGGAGGUGUGAGUGGGCCGUGUGGCUGGCUGCUUCUCCCUGAGGAAACUGCGGCCGAAUGCUAGGACCAGCCUGCCACCGCCACCACCGCUGUUCUGGAAAUGGUGCCUGAGGGCUCCCCGCGAUUCAGGGUUUCCUGGAGGGGAACCUCCUGUCUGCUUUCCUUCUGAAGUUCCUGGGAACAACCGGAGGCAUGGUUUCAGGAAGUGGAAGUGGUGUGGCACCAGCCAGCCUCCUGACAGGAAGCUAAGCCCACAGCUAACUGAGCUGAUGUGGAGUAACGUCCAGCACCCGGAAAAAGAAAACAUUAUUAUUAUUUUUUUUAAUAACAAUGAGAUAAAGAUGUCUUGCUUCCACCUCUCAAGUUUAGAAAAAGGACUCUUAAUAAUGUGAAGGCAAAGCCAUUUCAAGCCUGAAACCACCCUGGGAUUUUGGUUGUCAUUGAGAGUUGCAGACAAAACUGAUCAUAAUAUAGCUUCAUUUGCAACAGAACACCCAGAGCUUGUCAUUUCAAAAGGUAAAAAACAAGAGCUUAUUUUCACAUACCUGAUGGAUGAGAGGAAACAACUCGCCUAUUCAACAGUUAUUCCUGAUGCCUCCUGCGCACUGAGAGCCCGGGACAUCCCUCCUCACAGCCUUGAUGAACCUAAGUGCCUGGGAUGUCCCCUCCUCACAGCCUCAAUGGACCUAAGAGCCUGGGACGUCCCUCCUCACAGCCUUGAUGGACCUAAGAGCCUGGGAUGUCCCUCCUCACAGCCUUGAUGGACCUAAGAGCCUGGGUGACCUUCGUCGCAGCCUUGAAGGACCUAAGAGCCUGGGAUGUCCCUCCUCAGAGCCUCGAUGGACCUAAGAGUCUGGGACGUCUCUCCUUACAGCCUUGAAGGACCUAAGAGCCCAGGGCAGCCUUCCUCACAGCCUCGAAGGACCUAAGAGCCCAGGGCAAUCUUCCUCACAGCCUUCAAGGACCUAAGAGCCCAGGGUGGCCUUCCUCACAGCCUUGAAGGACCUAAGAGCCUGGGACAUCCCUCCUUAUAGCCUCAAAGGACCUAAGAGCCCAGGACGUCCCUCCUCACAGCCUUGAAAGAGCCCAGGACGUCCUUCCUCACAGCCUCAAAGGACUAAGAACCUGGGACAUCCCUUCUCACAGCAUCAAAGGACCUAAGAGCCCAAGACAUCUCUCCUCACAGUCUUGGUGGACCUAACAGCCCUGAAUGUCCCUCCUUACACCCUCAGUGGAGCUAAGAACCCAGGAAGUCCCUUCUUACAGGCUCAAUGGACCUAAGAGCCCAGGAAGUCCCUCCUUGCAGCCUCAAUGGACCUAAGAGCCCAGGACAUCCCUCUUCAUAGCCUCAAAGGACCUAAGAACACAAGUCAUCUCUCCUCAAAGUCUUGAUGGACCUAAGAGCCCAGGACGUCCCUCCUUACAGCCUCAAUGGACCUAAGAGCCCAGGACAUCCCUUCUCACAGCCUCAAUGGAACCUAAGAGCCCGGAACGUCCCUCCUCACAGCCUUGAAGGACCUAGGAGCCCAGGGCGAUCCUUCUCACAACCUCAGUGGACCUAAGAGCCCAGGACAUCCCUCCUCACAGUCUUGGUGGACCUAAGCAGUGAGAGCUGGGCCGUCUCUCCUCACAGCCCUGCCUUGAUGGACCUAACCUGCCAUGUUUGAGCUUCAGGACCCUGUACAAUGGAGGCAGGCUAGGGAGUGGGGCUGGUGCUUUCUGUCACCUCCAUGCCAGGGACGCCCCAGACUCCUCCUUAGUGUAGACUCCUCAGGCACACCUGGGAGGGGAACACGCAAGCAGAAGGACACAAAAGAACACAGAUUUGCAGCUACACCUCUAAAGAAAGGGAGGCGUAGCCUUAGCCACAGAACAGACCCUGGCCUUUGUUUUGCACGGGAUGAGUAACAUACAAACAUUCACAGAGAGGCAAAUGAUUGAGCGCUUGACUGCUAACCAAAACGAUGGCGGUUUGAACCCACUCAGAGGUGCCUGGGAGGGCAGGCCUGGCAAUCUGCUUCUGAAAAAGCAGCCAUUGGAAACCCUAUGGAGCAGUUGUACUCUGCACGUGUAGGGUUGCCAUGAGUCAGAAUCAACUCAGCAGCAACUGACCACAACAUGGAGAGGUGCUCCCGACAGGACCUGAACCCCUAUCUGGCACUGAGCACGCUUCCGGGGACUUGCUCCUGCAAUGAGCUGAUGUGCAAACUCACCUCAGUGCCUGGGGAGCCCUGCGUGGUGCAAACGGUUAAGCAUUCAGCUAUGAGCCGAAAGGUUGGGGCUCAAGUCCACCCAGAGGAGCCUCAGAAAAAAGGCCUGGUGAUCUAAUUCUGAAAAACCAGCCAUUGGAAACCCCAAGAAGCACAAUUCCACUGUGAUGCAUAUGGGGGGGUCGCCAUGAGUCAGAGCUGACUUUACGGCAACUGGUUUGGUUUUUGGUUUAAGUAAACCGUGCUUGGGAGAGGAAAGCAAAUCCAGGUCCAGUCUUAGGAGACAAGGCUUGUGGAUUAUCUGUGUCAGUCCCCCCUCACCGUACACACACGGCUGAGAACAGCCACUGUCUACCACGCUAACAGACUGCCACCCUUCACAGCCAUUGCCGUUUCCACCGGGGUAAGACCAGCCUGCCUCGCUGUCUUCACUGCUGGACCUCAUUCUCCGUAAAGCACUAGACUGUGCCAAGGGAACCAAACCUCUGUUAAUGUUAAGCCAAAUCCCAUUUAACUUUUAAACAGACCAGACCAUAGUUCUAAAGGACAACUCGCCCUCAACACGCUGGUCUCUCGUCACCUCCUGGCUCCCGCUCCCAUGCUGUUGGGAGCUCCUGGCUGACCUCAUACACGUCCUGGAAGUGGUUUGCUCUCUUCUGUCUUAACCAGCAGCGUCCUAGGGACUGGACGAGGGCGCUUUCCACACAGUCUGCAUGUGGACAAUGUCUCCACGACCAUGGGAGAUAAGAGGACCAAGCCAUGCUUGGUUUGGACCGUAGGCGUCUGACCUCAGAUGUGACCUACAUGCCUCAGUGGUCUAUGCCUUUAAUAUUCUUUCCCGUGGACAAUGUCUCCACGACCAUGGGAGAUAAGAGGACCAAGCCAGGCUUGGUUUGGACCGUAGGCGUCUGACCUCAGAUGUGACCUACAUGCCUCAGUGGUCUAUGCCUUUAAUAUUCUUUCCCCUGACCAUAAAGGCACUUCAUGCUUAGUAUAGAGAAGGCAGAAAAGAUGGGAGAGCAUAGAAAAAAGCAAAGCUCGGCACCCCCCGCUCAUGUCACGGAGAUCUGCAUUGGUGGGUUUUGGGUCCUCCAGCCCUUUCCAUGCACACAGGUGUGUACUGUGGCACAGACAGCUAUGACCAUUCUACACGUCUAGUUUCCUGUCCAGCUUUUUCCCUUUGCAGACAUCUCAUCACCAGCAUUUCCUUGUGACAUCAAUUAGCUUUUUCAGCUUAAUUUUUUAAUAGCUCCAAUUGUAUCUCAUAAAAUGUUUCCUGACUUUUAAACAUCAUCUCUCUGUUGGACAUGUGAAUCGAUCCCAGUCUUCACUAUUAUAAAUGGUACAAACAUCACCCUCGUCUCUGAUUAUUUCCUUAAGUUAAUAUCUUAGCAAAGGAAUCCCUGGGUUACAGGGAGUGGCUUUUUACGACUCUUUAAAGCCAAACUCCUUUCUAGAAAAUUUGGGCUGUUCACACUGUCAGGUCCACCUGAAAAACGGAAGCGGGACCUCUUCUGGCUUUUCAGCAGUGGGGCACAAUAAAUUAGAACUUUAU